GAAGAAAUAUGGUCAAGAUUUUAAAGCUAUCUAUAGAAAUUAAGGCAUAAUUAUGAAAUGAAGGACUUGUUAGAAUUUUUGUUGGAGUAGAGAGAUCAACUGAUCAAGCGCUACGGGGUUUGUGUAGCGGGUCACAGUUACGGGGCGUGCGGAUCUACCAUGACCCGAACUGGAUCGUUCUCAUCUAGCAUCUCAUUUGCUCGAGACGUUGCGGGCUUCGAUUUCAAUCUGGAGAGGAUAACUUGACCAUUACAGAGAAAAAAAUCGUAUAAGGUGGGCGUAACAAUGAGACAGCAGGGUCAAUAUUCUGAUUCAGGACUUGGCUCAUAUUCAGUUUCUCAAAUGCAUCAAGUUCCCAGUCAAAGGAUGGAACAAAGCCACCCUGAUCCUUUUGAAGGACGGCUGGAAGCCUUCACUCCAGAGAGAGAGAAUUCAUAUCUAGCUUCAAAAAAUGAGGAUCAAUGGAGAUGGGAAAGAGAUGAGUCGAAGAUGCCAAAUUCCAUGGCCUCUCACAUGUUCAACGAAGGUCAAGGGGGUGAUCUCAGAAGAUCAUACUUUCAAGGUCAGAGACCAAAUCCAAAAUUGGUUCUUGAGAAAGGAAGCAACAGCGAUCUCAGAUUUCAAUCCCAUGGAAAAAACAUGGAAAGUAGGUUUGGAGAUGGCCUGCUGCCACAGAAUUUUGACGGUCUCGAGCAGAAAUUCAUUGAUGACAUCAUUAACUUUUCCAAGGAACAAAAUGAUGCAGAGGAUGAGGAAAAUGCUCGACAUAGAGAGAGAAUUAUCGCUAUCAAUUCUCAGUACGAGGAGCAAUUAGCAGCACUUCGAGCUCAGCAUGCUGGUCGUCGUGAUGAGCUGCUACGAAGGGAAUCAAGUGCACGGCACCAUCAGUAUCAGAAGGGAAUAAGGGACCAUUACCCCAAUGGGGGCAUUGGCCCAGGUAAUCCUCGUGGCAGUAGUGGAGUUACAACCUUAGCUGCUUCUGGACGAGCACAUCAAAAUUAUGAAUCUGAACACUUCAAUUCCUACAGAGAAUGAACUCGGUUUCUUGGGAAUUCUAUGCGGAAUUCUAAUUUGGAUUCGAGUUUAUGACACUGGCUCACGGUUAGGUUCCAAUGGCAACAUCACGUGGCAUGUGAGCACAUAUCCAUUGCCUCCAGAUCUUGACCAGCAAUUGCAAUACGGUGGUCUCACUUUUCUGUCUCUCUUCUUUUGUGUUAUUAUUAUCAAUGAUAUCUGUUAGGGCCUUGCUCUGAAACUGCCUGCUCAAUAUUCACAGCAUACACACUUUUACUUGCUGGGAAAAAGAAAUCAUGUUGUUCUUCGCUUUAAUAUUUCACUUUGUUAGUGAUUCUGUUAGAAUUGGAUGCCAUUCCCUUUCUCAUUCGCCUGGGUUUGGUUUGGUUUCCUUGAAGCCAAAUAGAAUCCUACCUUCAUUCCCAAAUAAAGUUACUGGUGUUUAAGGAUUGAUUA